rnacentral:rRNA from 1 species
AGGACGAACGCUGGCGGCGUGCUUAACACAUGCAAGUCGAGCGGAAAGGCCCUUCGGGGUACUCGAGCGGCGAACGGGUGAGUAACACGUGAGCAAUCUGCCCUUAGCUUCGGGAUAGCCCCGGGAAACCGGGAUUAAUACCGAAUACGACCUCGGCCGACAUCGGCUUUGGUGGAAAGUUUUUCGGCUAGGGAUGAACUCGCGGCCUAUCAGCUUGUUGGUGGGGUAAUGGCCUACCAAGGCGACGACGGGUAGCCGGCCUGAGAGGGCGACCGGCCACACUGGGACUGAGACACGGCCCAGACUCCUACGGGAGGCAGCAGUGGGGAAUAUUGCGCAAUGGGCGAAAGCCUGACGCAGCGACGCCGCGUGGGGGAUGAAGGCCUUCGGGUUGUAACCCCUUUCAGCAGGGACGAAGCGAGAGUGACGGUACCUGCAGAAGAAGCGCCGGCUAACUACGUGCCAGCAGCCGC